rnacentral:rRNA from 1 species
AAUGAACGCUGGCGGUAGGCCUAACACAUGCAAGUCGAACGGCAGCACAGUAAGAGCUUGCUCUUACGGGUGGCGAGUGGCGGACGGGUGAGGAAUACAUCGGAAUCUACUUUUUCGUGGGGGAUAACGUAGGGAAGCUUAUGCUAAUACCGCAUACGACCUACGGGUGAAAGCAGUGGAUCUUCGGACCUUGCGCGAUUGAAUUAGCCGAUGUCGGAUUAGCUAGUUGGCGGGGUAAAGGCCCACCAAGGCGACGAUCCGUAGCUGGUCUGAGAGGAUGAUCAGCCACACUGGAACUGAGACACGGUCCAGACUCCUACGGGAGGCAGCAGUGGGGAAUAUUGGACAAUGGGCGAAAGCCUGAUCCAGCCAUACCGCGUGGGUGAAGAAGGCCUUCGGGUUGUAAAGCCCUUUUGUUGGGAAAGAAAAGCAGCAGGUUAAUACCCCGCUGUUCUGACGGUACCCAAAGAAUAAGCACCGGCUAACUUCGUG